rnacentral:rRNA from 1 species
GACGAAGGGGGCUAGCGUUGUUCGGAAUUACUGGGCGUAAAGCGCGUGUAGGCGGUUGUCCAAGUUGGAUGUGAAAGCCUUGAGCUUAACUCAAGAAAUGCAUUCAGGACUGGAUGACUAGAGGACCGGAGAGGAUAGUGGAAUUCCCAGUGUAGUGGUGAAAUACGUAGAGAUUGGUAAGAACACCAGUGGCGAAGGCGGCUAUCUGGACGGUUUCUGACGCUAAGACGCGAAAGCGUGGGGAGCAAACAGG